rnacentral:rRNA from 1 species
UACAGAGGGUGCGAGCGUUGUUCGGAAUUAUUGGGCGUAAAGCGCUUGUAGGCGGCUUGUUAAGUUCCGUGUGAAAUCCCCAGGCUUAACCUGGGAAGUGCGCGGAAAACUGGCGAGCUUGAGUGCCGGAGAGGGUCGCGGAAUUCCUGGUGUAGCGGUGAAAUGCGCAGAUAUCAGGAGGAACACCGGUGGCGAAGGCGGUUCUCUGGGCCUGUACUGACGCUGAGGAACGAAAGCGUGGGGAGCGAACAGG